GAUGAAGAACGUAGCGAAAUGCGAUAAGUAAUGUGAAUUGCAGAUUUCCAGUGAAUCAUCGAAUCUUUGAACGCACCUUGCGCCCCUUGGUUAUUCCAAAGGGCAUGCCUGUUUGAGUAUCAUGAACACCUCAACUCUUGUGGUUUCCCACAAUGAGCUUGGACUGUGGAGGUUUUGUUGGCCCUGUGGUCAGCUCCUCUCAAAUGGAUCAGCUUACCGGUGUUUGGUGGCAUUACGGGUGUGAUAACUAUCUACGCUCGUGGUCGUCUCCAAAUAACCUCCAGUGAUGGAGGUUCGCUGGAGCUUAUAAAUGUCUCUCCCCAGUGAAGACAGCCUUUGAACGUUCGAUCUCAAAUCAGGUAGGACUACCCGCUGAACUUAAGCAUAUCAAUAAGCGGAGGA
rnacentral:misc_RNA from 1 species